GCCCUCUGCUGGCAGCGGGUAGCUGGAGAACUGUGGCAACUGAGACGACGAUAGGACCGCAUAGGACGAUAGGAGAAGUUGUCACCCGUGUCUAUGGAGGCUCAAUGCUAUAACUUCCUGCAGCUCUUUGCUCCCUCCAGCCUCCGGUCCAGACAGAGGGGAGCCUCCCAGUCCUAACCACAUAGAGGAAGUGUCUUUGUCACUGCUUUCUCUGUGCUGCUGGGUUUGGGAGACUCUUCACAUAAUCAGCGGUGUUGGCCUCCAUCUCUAAACAGAAGACAGUCGAGACGAGUGAUUUUCAUCAAUAAUUUGAAACAAAUUGUAAUAAAUACGUUCCAUGUUAAACAUCA